GAUGAACGCUAGCGGCAGGCCUAACACAUGCAAGUCGAGGGGCAUCAUGGCGUAGCAAUACGCUGAUGGCGACCGGCGCACGGGUGCGUAACGCGUAUGGAACCUACCCACCGCAGGGGGAUAACCCGCCGAAAGGCGGACUAAUACCCCAUGGUUCCCCGACCCUGCCUGGGGUUGGGGGUAAAGCCUACGGGCGGCGGUGGAUGGCCCUGCGUGCCAUUAGCUGGCUGGUGGGGUAACGGCCCACCAGGGCGACGAUGGCUAGGGGGUCUGAGAGGACGAUCCCCCACACUGGAACUGAGACACGGUCCAGACUCCUACGGGAGGCAGCAGUGGGGAAUAUUGGACAAUGGGCGCAAGCCUGAUCCAGCAAUGCCGCGUGUGUGAAGAAGGCCUUCGGGUUGUAAAGCACUUUUAUCAGGAACGAAAAGCGUUGGAUUAAUACUCUGACGUGCUGACGGUACCUGAGGAAUAAGCACCGGCUAACUUCGUG
rnacentral:rRNA from 1 species